rnacentral:rRNA from 1 species
GAUGAACGCUAGCUACAGGCUUAACACAUGCAAGUCGAGGGGCAGCAUGCAGGUAGCUUGCUAUCUGUGAUGGCGACCGGCGCACGGGUGAGUAACGCGUAUCCAACCUUCCCCGUAGUAGGGCACAGCCCGGCGAAAGUCGGAUUAAUUCCCUAUGUUCUUGACAGCAGACAUCUAACGUCAAGCAAAGGUUCACCGCUAUAGGAUGGGGAUGCGUCUGAUUAGCUUGAUGGCGGGGUAACGGCCCACCAUGGCGACGAUCAGUAGGGGUUCUGAGAGGAAGGUCCCCCACAUUGGAACUGAGACACGGUCCAAACUCC